rnacentral:rRNA from 1 species
GAUGAACGCUGGCGGCGUGCCUAAUACAUGCAAGUCGAGCGAACAGACGAGGAGCUUGCUCCUCUGACGUUAGCGGCGGACGGGUGAGUAACACGUGGAUAACCUACCUAUAAGACUGGGAUAACUUCGGGAAACCGGAGCUAAUACCGGAUAAUAUAUUGAACCGCAUGGUUCAAUAGUGAAAUACGGUUUUGCUGUCACUUAUAGAUGGAUCCGCGCCGCAUUAGCUAGUUGGUAAGGUAACGGCUUACCAAGGCAACGAUGCGUAGCCGACCUGAGAGAGUGAUCGGCCACACUGGAACGGAGACACGGUCCAGACUCCUACGAGAGGCAGCAGUAGGGAAUCUUCCGCAAUGGGCGAAAACCUGACGGAGCAACGCCGCGUGAGUGAUGAAGGUCUUCGGAUCGUAAAACUCUGUUAUUAGGGAAGAACAAAUGUGUAAGUAACUAUGCACGUCUUGACGGUAACUAAUCAGAAAGCCACGGCUAACUACGUG